CUUUGAAGAAGAAAUGACAUUUGACCUAUACCUUGAAGGAUGGAUAGGAAUUUCCAGUUGGAGAAUGGAAGAAAGCACAUUCCAAGCAUUGGAGCACUAUGAAGAGAAGGGAGCAAGUUUGAAUCCAUGAAUGAGUGGAAAGCAGAGAAUAAUGUAUUUGAAUGUUGAGGUGCUUUGAAGGAAGUUGCAGACGAUGAAGCUGGAAGGAUAGUCUUUGGUUAUAUUUUACAGGAGACUGUGGAAAAUUAGUGAUUAUAGUUUAUACAGAAAUAUUUUUCUACAUCUUUAUAAACUGCUUUUUCCAUAUUUUGUAGAUUUAUGACAAAGUCCAGUUUUCAACAAUGCUGGAAUCAAAUGAUUGCUUGUUUUCCUUGGAUAAUUUGUUUUUUGAAAAACCAGAUGAAGUUGAAAACCAUCCAGAUAAUGAAAAGUCAUUAGAUUGGUUUCUCCCUCCUGCUCCAUUGAUUUCAGAAAUUCCAGAUACUCAGGAGUUAGAUGAAGAAUUAGAAAGUCAUAAACUGUGAGGUCAGGAAAAGAGGCCAAAAAUGUUAACAUCAAAUUUAAAGAUAACUAAUGAAGACACAAAUUAUAUUUCGCAAAGAUAACUAAUGAAGACACAAAUUAUAUUUUGCCAACACAAAAAUUCCAAUUUGCCUUUCCUUCUAAUAAAUAUGAACAGGAUGAUCUAAAUUUAGAAGGGGUAGGUAAAAAUGACUUAUCACAUGUUGCUGGCAAGCUGACAUAUGGUUCUCAGAAAUAUAAAAAUCACAUUGGCACUGAGAUAGCACCUGAGAAGAGUGUUCCUGAUGAUACAAAAUUAGUUAAUUUUGCAGAAGAUAAAGGAGAGAGCACAUCAGUAUUCUGGAAAAUGUAAUUAUUAUAAUUAAACCAAAUAAUAUUCUGUGAAUAAAUUUGAAUAUUUGUACAUCUAAAAGUAUUAAAUAUGGUAGAAUGUGAAUGAGAAAAACAGCAAAAUUCUAUCUCCUAAAUAAUUCCUUACUUUCUGCAUUCCUGGUGUCAUAGUCCUUGUGCUACACAUAAAAAUAACCAUAAUUGUAAUAUUUAACUGUCUACUACAAAUGGUACCACAAUAGUCCAGGUGGGACACAGGAAUCUUCAUUUUGAACAAAUUUUCUAGGUGAUUAUUAUGCAUACAAAAGUUCGAGGCCC
rnacentral:lncRNA from 1 species